UUCACGAACAAAACGAAGAAAGUGGCGCCGCGUCGGAGGUCUGCCCGGCGGGCAUUGGGACGGCGGCUCCCGCUCGCCUCCCGCCGGACCGGGUGUUGUGUCAGCGGCGGAUGCGGCAGACGUAUUGGUUUGUCCUGCCGUGGCAGAGCUGGCUGUUGUGGCUGGUGGCAAUGGCGGCGGUGACCUCCCCUCUCCAUCCCCGUCCGCCAUUGUCGGCCGCCUGCCGCCGAGGUCGACGACUUCCGCCGUAUCCCCGUGAGCGUCGGAUUUUUCGAAGAGAUCAUCGACGACAGCCACAGCAUCGUCUUUUCCUCCGUCGGCCCGAGUACUGCGUUGGCAUCCUCUCCUUCGUGAGCAAGGACCAGUUCGACCCCAGCUGUUCCAUCGUCAUGCACAGCAAGCUGUACAAGUCGGCAGGAGAAGGCAGUUACCUGCUGGGUCUCAACAGACUUUCUGGCCCACAACUUCAGUACCUCAAUAUAUGCUUACAGUUAAGCUCUAAGCUGAGAGCAGUUAACUGACUAAGGCAGUGAAUUCUGGCCAGAAUACUUUUGUUCCAGGUCCAUCUUUUCGGGACCCCUACACUGGGGCUAAUGCAUAUGUCCCUGGGCAAUCAGCCUCUUCAACUGGAAGGAAUGCUGACAUUUGACACAACUCAGUUCGAGGGAAUUCUAAAGAAGCUCUCUGAAUUCAAUGCAACGCUUUCAUCUAAUUUGUUAAUUUCAAAAAACAUUUGUUGGUGACUUUUGUUUCUUCUGAUGCUUCCAUAUAAUUUGGUAAUUUCAAAAAUCAUCUGUUGGUGACUUUUGUUUCUUCUGAUACUUUAGUGUUCACGUAAUCAAAUCAGUUAGAUCUUUCCCCCAUUAGGUUGAUUAGAACUGGGGAUUCGCCUUCAAGUCAGCUGGAUUUGGCUUAUUGUUUGCUCUCAUCUGUACUAAUCGAUUUUCUGCCUGAACAAAGCCCCUUAUCACUAUGUGGUACUCUUUUUUUUUUCAAUGACCACCUUACCCAUACCAACUUCUGAAAAUUUCAGCAUCCAAUUUUCAUGGAAACCUUACCCAUAUGGCCUUCUUUAAAUUCAGCGUUCAGUAACUCCUUAAGAAGUGUGAAUCCUGGGCAUGGAUUUCAUAUGCAACGGGGAUCGUGCACUGGAUUGAAUCUCACUUCGUGUGAUCCUAUUCAAGGUUGGAAUACGAUUGGGAUAUGGUGGGGAGGGAGAUAAUGAUGAGUGAGAAUAGAGGGAAGGUGACAACUGACAAACAAGGUCUAUGAGAGAUCAAUCAAGAUGGAGGCAGAGCUGUGGGCAGUAGAGAUGAAAUGAUGGCAGAGCUUGCGCAGGUUCGCCUUGACAUCCAGAGGUUGGGUGUAGCAAUGCAAGAACUCAUGAGUCAGGUCCAGGGGUUCACCCAGGAUUUGGCUCGAUCAGCAGUGGACUUGCAGCAAGUGGCUGCAUUGAAAGCUGAAAUUCAGGAGAUAAGGCAUGAAACACAACAUUUGAGAUCUGGCAUUGAGGUUGACAAUAAACGAUAUGCAGAAAGCUAUGAGCAGGGACAAGAUAUGCACAAGAAAUUGAUUUCAGUGGCUUCUAAGUGGAGAAGCUCCGAGCUGAGGCUGACAAGAGGUCACGAGCUGCUGUUUCUGGAGGCAAUGAAGGUACUUAACAAACUCUGGGUGCUUAAUUCCCUUCGCAAUUCAAAUCCUACAGUGUGAACUGUUGAAAGCCCAUCUAACUCUGUAAAUUAGAAUUCUUGAAUCCCUAUAUAGCAUUAAAUAUCUGUUUCUCAUGAUGGGAUUUAGGAUUGGUAUGUCUAUCGAUCAGGUCUUCUAAUUCCACUCCUGGGAGGACUGAGUUACCUUCAGUACUCGUAAGACUUGUGACCUUAUGAAUCGUUAUACAAAAUACCAUGUCUGAAAAUGGAUUUGCCUAUGUUUACAGUGAAGUGUAUGAGAAUAUUAAGGC